GAUGAAGAACGUAGCGAAAUGUGAUAAGUAAUGUGAAUUGCAGAAUUCAGUGAAUCAUCGAAUCUUUGAACGCACAUUGCGCCCGCCAGCAUUCUGGCGGGCAUGCCUGUUCGAGCGUCAUUUCAACCCUCGAGCCCCCCCGGGGGCCUCGGUGUUGGGGGACGGCACACCAGCCGCCCCCGAAAUGCAGUGGCGACCCCGCCGCAGCCUCCCCUGCGUAGUAGCACACACCUCGCACCGGAGCGCGGAGGCGGUCACGCCGUAAAACGCCCAACUUUCUUAGAGUUGACCUCGGAUCAGGCAGGAAUACCCGCUGAACUUAAGCAUAUCAAUAAGCGGAGGA
rnacentral:misc_RNA from 1 species